rnacentral:rRNA from 1 species
UCUAUGGCUAGAUAAAGUACAAGUCGUAACAAGGUUUCAGUUGGAGAACCAGCUGAAGGAUCAUUU